CUACGGAACUCCUACGGGAGGCAGCAGUGGGGAAUAUUGCACAAUGGGCGGAAGCCUGAUGCAGCAGCGCCGCGUGCGGGAUGACGGCCUUCGGGUUGUAAACCGCUUUCGCCUGUGACGAAGCGUGAGUGACGGUAAUGGGUAAAGAAGCACCGGCUAACUACGUGCCAGCAGCCGCGGUGAUACGUAGGGUGCGAGCGUUGUCCGGAUUUAUUGGGCGUAAAGGGCUCGUAGGUGGUUGAUCGCGUCGGAAGUGUAAUCUUGGGGCUUAACCCUGAGCGUGCUUUCGAUACGGGUUGACUUGAGGAGGGUAGGGGAGAAUGGAAUUCCUGGUGGAGCGGUGGAAUGCGCAGAUAUCAGGAGGAACACCAGUGGCGAAGGCGGUUCUCUGGGCCUUUCCUGACGCUGAGGAGCGAAAGCGUGGGGAGCGAACAGGAUUAGAUACCCCUGUAGUCCUCUUCGA
rnacentral:rRNA from 1 species